rnacentral:misc_RNA from 1 species
AACUUUCGGCAAUGGAUCACUUGGCUCUCGCAUCGAUGAAGAACGCAGCGAAAGGCGAUAAGUAAUGUGAAUUGCAGAAUUCAGUGAAUCAUCGAAUCUUUGAACGCACCUUGCGCCCCUGGGAUAUUCCGAGGGGCAUGCCUGUUUGAGUAUCAUGAACACCUCAACUCUCAUGGUUUGCCAUGAUGAGCUUGGACUUUGAGGGUUUUGCUGGCCGUAUGGUCAGCUCCCCUCAAACAAAUCGGCUGGCCAGUGUAUGGCGGUGCUGUGGGUGUGAUAACUAUCUACGCUUGCGGUCAUCCGUUGGGUAACCUUUGGCAACAGAGGUUCGCUGGAGCUCAUAAAUGUCUCUCCUCAGUGAAGACAGCUUUUCAAACGUUCGAUCUCAAAUCAGGUAGGACUACCCGCUGCACUUAAGCGUAUCAGUAAGCGGAGGCU